CUCUCUCUCUCUCUCUCUCUCUCUCUCUCUCUCUCUCUCUCUCUCUCUCUCUCUCUCUCUCUCUCUCUCUCUCUCUCCCCCUUACUUUAUGUCUCUCUCCCUCUCUGGGUUCUCCUUCAUUGUUUACAAGUGCUGUCACGUUAGGAACUCCUGCAGCAAGCAGUGGAACCGAGGCUGUUCUGCAUCGAGAUGGACGACUAGCAAUAACAAAUGCCCGCGCAGAGAAACUGUGUGUGUGUGUGUGUGUGUGUGUGUGUGUAUGUAAACUGCACGCGUGCAAAAAAAAGUUUAGCUUGUGUCUCCGUGGGAGGAUUUGUAGAGCUGAAAGAAGAGAGUGGAGUGGUCAGAAACAGAGGGGAGUUGGAAGGAGUUGCAGCAACUCCGACACACAAAGGAAGCUUCGGUUGGCGCCGGGUACCCGUCACAGUGGAGGGAGAACCAAGCAGCCUCCGGCACUAGCAGACGACGGUUUUCGGACAUUUCCGAUGGCCGAAUGGCCUAAGAUACCACCCAAGCCUGACUCCAUUUUGAUGCCAGAGGAUGUCUGACCAAUUAUCAACCAGCGUCUGCCCCCACUGGUAUGUUGGCAUGCUAUACUCCUUGCCUUUUGCUGUAUGUUUAGCUAAUGUGAAGUGUGGUAAAACCUAGGGCUGGAGUCUGUCAUGGGGGACUUUCGCUGCUGUUUGUUUUUGUUGUGUUUCUCUUUGAGUACUGCUGCAUUUCCCACUUUUUCUUGGUAAUAAACAAAUGAGCAGUUUUGUAAUAGGAAACAAUGCAUAAUACAGGUGUUUAGGUUUGCGAAAGCGCACAUUUUUUGUUUGUUUUAAUUCCGACAACAAUUCAAGGUUAUCCUAUUAUGUGAUUUAGCUUAACGGUUACAUAGUAUUGUUUGGUUUAAAUAUUUAGGUUGCGUUGUCUCAAUAACUCGUAUUUGUCUCAUGUGCUUGCGUGAUUCUUUUUUUUAUUAUUUUUAUUUACAAAAUAACUGAGAAUGAUAUCAGCAAAGUUCCGAUUUAUUUUUCAAGGUUGCUGCGAUACUAUUUCUCCAUUAAUAGAAAUGCAUUUUUUAUGAAAACUCACCCUAACUACUGAACAUCACAUAUUGUGUUCAUUGUAAAUGUUUUAUUGUUGCUUUGAGCAUAAUUUCUAAAACAUCCAAUACAUUUAAUUUGGUCGUUUCAUCACGCAAAUGAGAACGUUAAUCGAUUGUUAUUUAAAAUGCUUAUCUUACGCACAAAAUACUUGGAACACAAAAUAUAAUACACAUAUAACAAGAGAUAAUACAUACAGAUAACAAACUGAAGUCUUCAUUUAAUAAAAAAGUGAAGUGUUUUAAUUUUUUUAGAACUGUUAGACCUACUUUCAAUUAUUAUACUAUUCACUUUUAAAUGUGUUAUUGAUGGACAACACGUGAGAAUCUAAAAAGAGAGAUGAGUUCAAUAUCAGAAAGUUGGUUGAUUCGUGGACGACGUAGGGUGCAGAGUUCAUUUUAGACGGUAACUUUCACAGGGAUUACUACUGUUGCCAUGUGAUGUUCAGAAGGGGCGGGUUCAUAUCAGUUUGGUGACGUGAACUGAUGCUGCGGCAGUAUCCCUAAAAAGAGGGAGGGGCCUAGUGAGGCAAAAAGGGUUUGGCCAUCUAGUUUGACCUUCAUCUGUGUUCCUGUAUCGGUUGCAGUUUUCUUGUAGUAUUUUUGCUCAUGUUAUAGCACUGCGUUUUCGUCCUGAUUCGUUUCUGGAGAAUUCCGCCAACUGCCGCAAACCCGUAGAUCCGAACUUGUGGUGACUCUCUGCGCAAGUUCAUAUCUAUAGGUAUGUGUCAAACUGGCAAUUGCAGCCACUGUGUAUUUUUGUCUUUAAAGAGCUUGUGAGAAAUCGUGAGUACUUUGGAAAAUGGAUCCUGACGUGGUGGUCAAAGAAAGAAUAAUAAUGCGCGUAUUAUUUCUAUCACUUUCGUGUACGCCUCCGAACCGCGGCCUCAACGUCGUCUUGCAUGGGAUCGUAUUUCAGGAUUCACACAAUCAGAGCAGGAACCCCUAAGAAAUAAAAUACCCUUUCCCUCAUCACUGCCGUUUCAGUAGGCGUUGACAUCCCUCAGACACCACUGAGCCUCCGGACUCGUGGUCCACAGGUUGAGGUAGUAGGUUGUAUAGUUCAGAGUGACAUCGCAGGAGAUAACUGUACAGCCUCCUAGCUUUCCCUGUGGACACACUCCAAUACAUCGGACGCAUAGUCGCAGAAAGCAAUGUUUUACUUUAAUGUACUUUCCCGUUUAUUUUACAUUUAUGAUGAUGUACAUUAGCGUGAUUGAUCGAUGGAAUGAUGAAAUGAUGCAAUUAACAUUUUUUUUGGUCGUUUUUUAAAUUAUUUAAAUUAAUUUAAAGUUGUCUUCUAACCCUCGGUGUCAUUCAUGUGGUCUGUCAUUUCAAAUAAAAGAUGGGAAGAAGAUUUUGGGAUUUUUAAAUUGUAUUUCUAUGUUAUGUAUUUUUAUGAAUGCAGUGAGAAGAGAAAAUACGAUAAAUAGAGUAGCAAAAAAUAAGCAUGCAGCUCUCAAAAGAAAAGUAAAAAGAGAAAUUUAAUAGUCUACACUGUGCAUGUAUUUAUGUGUUAUUUUUGCUACUAUGAGAUCAAACAAAACUCCUCAAAAACGCUACAAUUCAAGUUCACUACAUAGAAAAAAGGACCAAAAUAAAUAAAGAAAGAAAGAAAUACAGGAAGAAAGGAAGAGGAGGAGCAGAACAUAUGAAAGGACCACAGCCUACUGGAGCAGGGAGGACCGCCGGUUUAAUGACAGAGAUGCCAUCGAGGGGAAAGAUUGGACAUGGCAGCCAAUUACGUACAAAGUUCGCUUUCACUAAACCAAAAACUGUGUGUUUCCUCCACACAACUAUUCUUUAAAGAGACAUUUUGAUCACAGAUGCCAGUGGCUACUCUCGCUGCAUCAAGCUGACAGGAACUCACGUCACGCUGAAAUGUAUUAUGGGUAAUUGGGAUGGCCCACUGUGUACGAUACUGUUUAUGGCAGAUACUGACAUCUGAAAGGAUGUUUUAACGUUUAUCUUUUCUGCUGAUGUGGUCUCACUGUAAGUUGUGUGAUACUUUUGUAGUUGGAAAAAGGGCUGAGCUUCAGGCACCGGAUUUCAGCUUUGGUUUCACUCCUGUGCUUUUGAGUCCCUCCUGUGGACUCUGUAAAUAACUACCAGCUAGGUUCAGCAAUUUACAGUUUGUUUUUUUUGCAUCAUUUCAACUCGCUCAAAGGUAUUUUCAACAUGUAAAAAAAAAUUGCAAAAUAUGGGCAGUGCUUCCCAUUUCCCCCGGCCUUCACGGAGGUCAGACCGGGUUCCCCUCCCCACAUCUCCUCAGCCGCGUAGGCCCCGGCCCGAGCGCCGCUGGUCUACUCUAAACAGAGCGAGCAGGAGGAAGUGGAUGCUUUUGUGUGUGUUUCGGACACAGGGUUAGUAUUUGGAGCGGGGAGUUUGGGAGCGGGGUUGAAAUGUGGCGAGGUUGAGGGGCGCAGCGGGGCUGCGUUGUUGCAGUGUUAAGGGUGCAGUGUAGCAGGGUCGAGGUGUAGCGGGGUUGAGGUGUAGCGGGGUUGAGUUGUAGCGGGGUUGAGGUGUAGCAGGGUUGAGUUGUGACGGGGUUGAGGUGUAGCAGGGUUGAGUUGUGACGGUGUUGAGGUGUCAGGGGGUGGACGGUGUUCCCGGGAUUGACGGUGUAACGGCGUUGAGGUGUAGUGAAGUUGAAGGUGCAGCGGGGGUUGACGGUGUAGCGCGGUCGACGGCCCACCGCGGUCGACGGCCCACCGCGCUUGACGGUGUAUCAGGGAUUGAGGUGGGGGUUUGAGGCGGGACGGAGGGCCGUUGGGCCAUGAGGACGGAGCACACACCCGACAGACAGAAGAGGUCAUAGGUCACGACACACACUGGGCCACCGAGGCCAGAGUGGGUAUGGUCCUAUCAGUGAGUAUCUCGUUGAGCUCUUUUUCCGACGCAAUAGUGGGGGAGUGGUAAACAAAUAAAUCAGUGUUCCUUUCUCUCUCUCUCUUUCACCCAUGUUUGUCAUCGGUCAUAUGUAUGCCAGUUUGUCAACAGUGAUCUGUCACAUGCAAGUAAGUUCCUCAUUCAUCCAUCUCAAUGCACUGCUCCUCUGGGUGCUUGGGCGAGCCAAUGCACGCCUUACCUUGAUUCACUCAAGUGAAAUCCAGAACCAACUGAACUCUGGCCUGUUUUGCCCUGGGGUUCACCGGCCGGUUCACAGUGGUAUUUCUCUGUCGGUGGUGUAGGGCUGUUGGCGAGGGGAGAAUCAAAGGCAAAAUACUCUCCUCACAACGAGAGAAUUUGACUCUGAGCUGCAUGUGAUGUGACGAGCCAACGCGGCAUGUGAUGUCUGUGGCCAGAGAGACUGAGAGACAGUAAUAGAGAGAGAGAGAGAGAGAGAGAGAGAGAGAGAGAGAGAGAGAGAGAGAGAGAGAGAGAGAGAGAGAGAGAGAGAGAGAGAGAGAGAGAGAGAGAGAGA